CCUACGGGUGGCAGCAGUGAGGAAUAUUGGUCAAUGGGCGGAAGCCUGAACCAGCCAAGUAGCGUGCAGGAUGACGGCCCUAUGGGUUGUAAACCUCUUUUGUCGGAGAACAAAACCCGGGACGUGUCCCGGACUGCGUGUAUCCGAAGAAAAAGCAUCGGCUAACUCCGUGCCAGCAGCCGCGGUAAUACGGAGGAUGCGAGCGUUAUCCGGAUUUAUUGGGUUUAAAGGGUGCGCAGGCGGCGAGUUAAGUCAGCGGUAAAAUUUCGGGGCUCAACCCCGACGAGCCGUUGAAACUGGCUGGCUAGAGUGGGCGAGAAGUAUGCGGAAUGCGUGGUGUAGCGGUGAAAUGCAUAGAUAUCACGCAGAACUCCGAUUGCGAAGGCAGCAUACCGGCGCCCAACUGACGCUCAGGCACGAAAGCGUGGGUAUCGAACAGGAUUAGAUACCCUUGUAGUC
rnacentral:rRNA from 1 species